CAUGCAGGACUAGUAUAAAUGGAGCUGCACAUACAAUUUCAUCGUACAGGCUUCUUAAACUUUCCUGCUAAACCAUUUUUGGGAAAAAUGGGCAGUUGAGUUAGGCCAAUUUAUCUAUGGUUUCCUCAACAAUCAUUUUUCCCACAUGU
rfam:Oryza barthii chromosome 7, whole genome shotgun sequence.